rnacentral:rRNA from 1 species
UAGUCCACGCCGUAAACGAUGGAUACUAGCUGUCCGGGCCCUUGAGGUCUGGGCGGCCAAGCGAAAGUGAUAAGUAUCCCACCUGGGGAGUACGUUCGCAAGAAUGAAACUCAAAGGAAUUGACGGGGGCCCGCACAAGCGGUGGAGCAUGUGGUUUAAUUCGAUGAUACGCGAGGAACCUUACCAGGGCUUAAAUGCAUAUUGACAGGGUCAGAGAUGACUUUUCCUUCGGGCAAUUUGCAAGGUGCUGCAUGGUUGUCGUCAGCUCGUGCCGUGAGGUGUCAGGUUAAGUCCUAUAACGAGCGCAACCCCUACCGUUAGUUGCCAGCAUGUCAUGAUGGGGACUCUAACGGGACUGCCGGUGCAAACCGCGAGGAGGUGGGGACGACGUCAAAUCAUCACGGGCCCUUACGUCCUGGGGCCACACACGUGCUACAAUGGGUCGGUACAGAGGGGCAGCCACUACACGAGUAGGGCGC